AUGGCCAUUUCGCCUGUGAAAUCUCCAUACCCCUAUACUGCGCGUGCGCGGACCCAAUAGACCGCGCGUGCGCAAUGUGGGGUAGGGAAAUUUCACAGGAGAAAUGGCCAUAAAAUUUACCUACCCCUCAACUGCGCACGCGCGGACUCACAUCAUCAGCUCCAAACUUAUCUGGACACAGGUAUCAUAUGCCAUGGCAUGCUUUUUGCUACGAAACCGCAGCCAUCUAGUCACUCGCCAGAGAAGGAUGAGAAACUGCACCCCAGCGAGAGGGACUGCCUCACAUCAGCAACCAAAUCCGUCGGUCACCGAAUUCAGUAAUCUCCGUCUCUUUGUCCAUUCUCUCUGACAAGCAUGUUCUCCUAUGGGACACGAAGUACAUGAAGAGGAAUGAAGAAGCACAUGUUUGAUGGUCGUCUCCAGGGUGGAGAAUUUAAUUUAUAAGUAAUGAAGUGGCAUCUGACACGUGACAAGCUGCUCCUGUUUGCACAGCAACUUCAACAUUGUGUACUGUGAUCACGGCAUAGUUCAGAGAUCUGGUGUCCCAGUACGGGAUAGAGACCAUCGUUCUGUUUAACAAGAGGAUAGUUGUGCAUCAUCUAUGACUGGCGGCUCAGCAGGAAUUCAACAGCUCCCGAGGGAAGGAGCAAACCGCCUUGAGGAGUCCCUGCAUAAGAGACUAUUGGAUACAGAAGGCUGUACUAAAGGAAGAUCUCAUCACAGCAUCAUCUAAGUCCUAGUCAGGAGUUAUAAUCUUAAGAGUAUAGAGCGGCUAACAAUAUCUGAUAAUAGUCCACGUGCAAUUAUUAUGUAUGUA